rnacentral:lncRNA from 1 species
GUAUUCCAAAAUUACAUCAUCAAAAUAUUAAUGCUUCAAAGUGUAUUUCAAUAGUAAUAUCCAAAACAUUCAUAGUUGAUCAUACAAAAUAAUCACUAAUUCACAUUUGGACGAUCAUCAUUGUUACUUUCAUAUAAAGAUCUUCUUGGCUCAACUGUUGAUGGUGCACCACUUUCUAAAUCUGAUGCCUGAAAAAAAAGAGGAAAAAUACAGUCAUGUAUCUUGGUAUAAUUAAGACCAUGUUUGUUGAUGGUUUUCUUGGCCUCAUAAAAAGAACCAAGAAUCUUGGCAUCUUCAAAGGCAUCUUUUAACAAUUCUAAUAUACUCAUCGCUUUGUCAGUCAUUCGACAAAGAUAUUUUAUAUGAUACAACUUGAUUAGAAAGGACAAUUUAAAAUACUUCGUACACCCUUCGUAUAAUGGUUGAUUGCCAUCUUCGACCAAUUCAUAGAACUUUGUAUAAUCUUCAUUAUGCCCCUCAAUGUGCCCUUCAUUAAAUAUUUCUUCUCUAUUUAUAUGAUUAGAAGACAAACCAGGCUCGUUGACAUUGUUCCCGGUGAACCCAAACGCAUCAUUAAUCAUAAUUUCUAUUGGAUAUUGGGGGCUGUAAAGUAUCUUCUAUGACAUGGGUGCUCUGAGAAGUCUGUUGCACGGUUGCAUUUGAUUCUUCACCAUGCCAAUCCCAAAAUUUAUAGUUUUUUGAAAAAAGGUUUAAGAAUUAGGUUCUCUUAAACUACAUCUCUUCUUUGUCACUUAUUAAAAUCACAUUUUGGAUACGAGCACUUAAUUACGCGUCCAUCAAAUGACUCGUGCUCAAAAGAAAAAUUCAAAAAUUGUCUUAGACCAUCUGCAUAUUCAAGUGUGUUUCGUGGUUUGCUAAUCCAAAAUUUAUCAAUUGGCAUGUCUCAAAAGGAAGACAUAAGAUAACAUGACAAUAUCAAAAUAGAAAAGUUAGUUCAAAAGCUUAUAUGUGAAAAACAUAACCUAUGAAAUAACAUCAUUUCAUAAGAUAACAAAAAAUAGUUUUGGUCUGUGAAUUAGAGUAAAAUAUCAUGCCCUAAGAGUAAAAAAUAAGCUCCAGCACCAAACUAUUUUCAUAUUUGGUCUGUGAAUAAAGAUACUGCUUCUAAGAGCAAGAUGCAACCAGUAUAAAGAUCAAGGGAUCAUGUACACUCAGGCUGCACUCUUUACUCCAGCUAGUAUGUUCAGCUUUGACCUUUUGUUUCAUAACAAUAUUGUAUGGUCUUUUCAAAUAAUUCUUAGUAUCAAUUUCCCAUAUGAGAGCACCACUGCUUAUUGGUACUAGCAGCAAGCAGUGAAUCAAGACAAAUAGUAUUUUACUUCUAAUUGAGAACUGAGAUACUGCAGUAAAUAGUGCAAAUCUAUUGAUAAAGUAGGCUCUAAUUAUUAGAUAGAACCUAUGAGAGAACCUUUAAGACUGAAACUUAACAUCUGGUCUUGAUUUGAUCAACUAGUUAAAGAAAUUACCUAAUGAGAAGCCUCUUAGUGAUAUAAAAGUGCAUAUAGAAAAUAUUUACUUCUUCCAUUAGAAUUAGGACAUAACUAUUAGAAGCUCUACAUGUAGCAGCCUGCAAUAAUUAGUGAAUAUUUUCACUUAAUCUGAACUAAGUUCUUCUCUCAAAAAUUUUGCUUAUAUAUGUCAAACUGUUAACUUACUACUUCAGGCCCUUUUCCAACUUACUAUAAAAAAUAUAAUGUCCAAUCAUACAUGACUUAAACUUCACUCCUACUCAAAAAUAUACUAAAAUAAAAGUCUACCAAAAACUUAUUUCAUGUCCUCAUCAUUCUGGUGCACUUUCAUUAAGCCUUCUUAAAGUAAAUAGCUUUUAUCGAUAUUAAAGGGAAAUUGGAAUAAGUUGUAUCUAUUUUACAAAUGUAAUAUUAUUGAUUAACAAACUCUAUGACUAAUCUACACUGAUAAGAGGUAACUCAACCCUAAGAAAUAAUCAAUUUACCUUUAAAAAAGAAAUCUGCUUAAAAGAAAGGACAAAAUUCAAGUGAAACGAGUUAUACCUAUCAAAUAUCUAAUUGUCGACGUCGAUUCCAAUAGCUUCACCAGCAGUUUUUGAUCCCUCGGCUACCUAUCAAUCCCAUAUAUAAUAUUUAGGUUAAUAUUAGUAAGAACAAUAACUUAAAAUAUCAAAAUUAAGUGCAUGCAAUCGAAAUACAAGACAAAGCAACGAAAAUUUAAAGAAAUACCAAACUAAUUGAACAUAAAAAUAACAAAAAAUGUACUCAAAAAUAAAAGAAAGAAGUACUAAAAACAUUAGAGUAGUAAUGUUUUCUAAUAACAGCAAUCGUAGUUCUGUUGUCUUUUUUUCUAAUAAUAGAUUACUAUUUUGGAUGUUAUAUAUUCAAUUGACUGAAUGAAUCAUAGAUUAUCGAACUAAGGGGAAAAAUUAGAACAGAAUUGGGAAAAAUCGCUACACUUCCAAACAUGCAUGAACCCUACAACAACAACAACAACAACAAUAACAAUAACAACGCAGUAUAAUCCCACUAGUGGGGUCUGGGUAGGAUAGUGUGUACGCAGACCUUACCCCUACCCUGGGGUAGAGAGACUGUUUCCGAUAGACCCCCGGCUCCCUCCCUCCAAGAACUCCCCACCUUGCUCUUGGGGUGACUCGAACUUACAACCUCUUGGUUGGAAGUGGAAAGAGUACUAAUAAAGAGAAAAGAACUUUUGGUACUAAAUAUACAUCAUUACCUGAAGAUUAUUGAAGUUGCUAAACGAAUUUCAUGUACUUUUUCUGAUUUGAAUCUCGAUUCUUCUAGCUGGAGAAAUAGAAGAAUCUGAAGUUAGAAAAUAGAACGAAUUGGGGGAAUUGAGGGAAGAAUCGGGGAAAGGAAUUGGGGGAAAGAGAAACGAGAGACCUAUUGAGGGAUGGAGUUGGGAAAAUUCCAGACUUAGUAAAUUCUGGAGAGAGUCUCAAUUUGU